UACGGGGGGGGCAAGCGUUGUUCGGAAUUACUGGGCGUAAAGGGCUCGUAGGCGGCCAACUAAGUCAGACGUGAAAUCCCUCGGCUUAACCGGGGAACUGCGUCUGAUACUGGAUGGCUUGAGUUUGGGAGAGGGAUGCGGAAUUCCAGGUGUAGCGGUGAAAUGCGUAGAUAUCUGGAGGAACACCGGUGGCGAAGGCGGCAUCCUGGACCGGUAUUGACACUGAGGCGCGAAAGCCAGGGGAGCAAACGGG
rnacentral:rRNA from 1 species